rnacentral:rRNA from 1 species
UACGUAAGGUGGCAAGCGUUUGUCCGGAAUUUAUUGGGUUUAAAGGGUGCGUAGGCGGCCCUGUAAGUCAGUGGUGAAAUGCCUCCAGCUUAACUGGAGAGGUGCCAAUGAUAACUGCAGGGCUUGAGUACAGAUGAGGUAGGCGGAAUUGACGGUGUAGCGGUGAAAUGCAUAGAUAUCGUCAAGAACACCUAUAGCGAAGGCAGCUUACUGGGCUGUAACUGACGCUGAGGCACGAAAAGUGUGGGGAUCAAACAGG